AUCGUGUUGGUUGCCUUGGGGACGCCGUAAUAUUUCCCGUCCCAGGUCACGGAGGCGAGUGGCCCCUUGAAGUAGUUCUCCGGCUUGACGACCGAGGACUUCGCGA
rnacentral:sRNA from 1 species